CAACUGGAUACCACCUUAAAUGAUCGGAUCUGUAUCUUUUCUUGACAAAGAAGUGACAAGGUAAUAGACAUUCUUCAAAAUGAAGCCCAGUUAUCUGCAUCUCCUAGUAUUCACAUCCUUUGAUGGCUACAACAAAUAACAUUUGACAAUGAGAUGAAAACAAUAUUGGGAUCAGCAAGUAGCUUAGUGGUUAAGGGUACAUGCUGCUGACGGAGGACCAAAACUGGUGUUUGAUCAUCAGCUGUGUAUGGACUCAGAAAAACAUAUGAUCACACCUUUGGCAUAGAAUUUAAUGUAACGGCUGCAUAAAUGAUAGCAAAGUCAGUGACCCACAAUUCAGUGGGUCAUUUGUUUUCAACUGUCAAUGUCAAAUCUGCAAAUUUCUACAAGAGGACUUCUAUAACGCUGGGCCUGAGGAUAGCCAGACUCAGAUAGGA